UACAGAGGGUGCUAGCGUUGUUCGGAAUCAUUGGGCGUAAAGGGCGUGUAGGCGGUUUGCCAAGUCGGGGUUGAAAUCUUUCGGCUCAACCGGAAAAGUGGCUUCGAUACUGGCAAGCUGGAGGGAGGUAGGGGCGGAUGGAACUUCCGGUGGAGCGGUGAAAUGUGUUGAUAUCGGAAGGAACGCCGGUGGCGAAAGCGAUCCGCUGGACCUCUUCUGACACUGAGGCGCGAAAGCCAGGGGAGCAAACGGG
rnacentral:rRNA from 1 species